GUCUAAGUCACCCUGUAAAAAUAUAGAAAAUGCUUAUUAAGAUCAUAGCAUAAGAUGGCACUUUAUUGUACAUUGAAGUCAUUAUUUAUCUAUCGUUUUCAAUAGCCAAACAGAAAAUGUAGACAGUUUCUUGUUUCUGUUUGGGUAGAAGGAAGAAUAAUAAAAGUUAUUAUCUCGUGUAUCAACAAUCAUUUUUGCUCAAGAAAAAUUUAAACAAUAAAUAUGAUUUCUUUCUCAAUGUUAUUUGGUUGAACACAUACCUAAUGUUUGCGAGUGUUCAAGUGCAAGUUCUCAU
rnacentral:misc_RNA from 1 species